UAAGUUCACUUGUUAGACUGAUGCAGACAGCAAGCCAAGAGGAAUAUGUAGACAAUGUAUAACUAAGCCGUGAGGAAAUUCAAACCAGUCCAUGUCUGGGAGCCAACACAGAUGCUGAAACCAUAAGGUCCUGCCUGGAUCCAAUCUGGACUGGAGAUGUCCGGAGUCCACAGUGCUUCUUCAGUGCAGCAUCCCGUCGGCUCCACUCCUCACCCAGUCAGAGUAAGUCUUUCCUUGUGGCUCUGUGCCUGCCACACAGCAAUUUCCAUCUGACCUUCAGAUACAGAAUACAGAUCUACCCUGCUGCCAAGGCAAAUGCUAUCUACUAUGCAAUAAACUAUGAAGCCACCAGAUAAUUGGAGGAGAAUGUCUGCAGAGUUGUGUCACGAUGGAUCUGUUCUUUCAUGCUGGAUGCGGAAUGGCGUGACCAGACCACCACA